CUAAAGACGACAUAGCAAACUUGCUAGGCAAAAUGGAAGCCUCAUUCAAGGCACGCCUACACACUAUUGGGACAGAUGUCCGCAAGAUGGGAGACAGAGUCACCUCACUGGAAGAUGAUCGCUACCUGCUCAGUGCAGCAACUUCAAGCUGCUAUGAACACGCAUACAUCCACCAUCUCAACAUUCUACCGCUCACUAGAUGAUGUGGAC